CUGUUUGUAGUUGUUUUAUACAAUUUUUUUGCUUAAAGCAAAAAAGGUAUAGUCAUGUUUUAUCAAAUGGCC
rnacentral:tRNA from 1 species